UACGGAGGAUCCAAGCGUUAUCCGGAUUUAUUGGGUUUAAAGGGUGCGUAGGCGGAUUGAUAAGUUAGAGGUGAAAUGUCCGAGCUCAACUCGGGAACUGCCUCUAAUACUGUUGAUCUAGAGAGUAGAUGCGGUAGGCGGAAUGUAUGGUGUAGCGGUGAAAUGCGUAGAUAUAUGGAGGAACACCGGUGGCGAAAGCGGCUCUCUGGCCUGUAACUGACACUGAGGCUCGAAAGCGUGGGGAGCAAACAGG
rnacentral:rRNA from 1 species